rnacentral:rRNA from 1 species
GAUUAACGCUAGCGGCAGGCCUAAUACAUGCAAGUUGUACGGGAUUAUUGGUAGCAAUACUGAUAUGAGAGUAGCGCACGGGUGCGUAACACGUAUGCAACCUACCUUUAACUGGGGAAUAGCUCACCGAAAGGUGAAUUAACACCGCAUAAAAUCACAGAAGGACAUCCUUUAAUGAUUAAAUCUCCGGAGGUUAAAGAUGGGCAUGCGUCCGAUUAGCUAGUGGCGGGGUAACAGCCCACCAAGGCAACGAUCGGUAGGGGUCUGAGAGGAUGAUCCCCCACACUGGUACUGAGACACGGACCAGACUCCUACGGGAGGCAGCAGUAAGGAAUAUUGGACAAUGGGGGCAACCUGAUCCAGCCAUGCCGCGUGAAGGAU